rnacentral:sRNA from 1 species
GUAACAUUAUUUUGACCUCUUCUGCUCUCAUUUUGUUAGUAUUUACAUGAAAUUUCUACUUGGUCUUGCCACUUUCAGUCUUUUCUUGUCAUUAGAUCUCAGCUGACUCUUGUAAAAAGGCAAGUUGAAUCUUGAUUUUUAAAAUUUUUUAAUGAGCCUUUUUAGAAGUAUGUCUCUUGAUUGGAAAGAUAAUUAUAUUUAAAUAGUUUUCUGAAAGAGAAAAACUGUUAAUGAAAUAAUUGUUUUGAUUCUUGUAUCUUUGUGUCUUAAUUUCUCCUUUUUAAGUUUUUUUUAUUUUUGUGUUGACAUGCUUUGAGCUUUUUUCUUAUUUUCUUUUGUGUAUCUAUACGGAUAUUUUCUUUUUUUUUUUUUUUUUUUUUUUGAGACAGAGUCUCGCUCUGUCGCCCAGGCUGGAGUGCCCUGGCGCGAUCUUGGCUCACUGUAAGCUCCGCCUCCUGGGUUCACACCAUUCUUCUGCCUCAGCCUCUCGAGUAGCUGGAACUACAGGCGCCCACCUCUACGCCCGGCUAAUUUUUUUUUUUGUAUUUUUAAUAGAGACGGGGUUUCACCGUGUUAGCCAGGAUGGUCUCCAUCUCCUGACCUUGUGAUCCACCCGCCUCGGCCUCCCAAAGUGCUGGGAUUACAGGCGUGAGCCACCGUGCCUGGCCUCGGAUAUUUUCUUAGUAGUACCUUGGGGGAUUAUCUAAAACCUCUAAAAGAUCCAACAAUAUAUUUUAAUGUAGUAGAAAAUUAACUUCAGUUGCAUACAGAAAUUCCUCAUUAUUACAUCUGCCUUCACAUUUGUUAUUGAUUUUACUAAUUAUAUUUUUUAUGUUGUCUAUUCAUUAACAGAUGUUCAUAAUUUCCAUACUUUUAUCUUUUAAACUGUACCAUUAUGAUUAACAUAACUAACAUUAGUUAAGUAAGAAAUUCCAUUUUUAUGAAUGUGCCUAUCUUUUCCAGAAACUUACAUAUCUUCAUAUGAUUAUGUGUUGUUUUCUUGCAUUAUGUUAUUUUCUGUGGAAAAAAACUCCUUUCAGCAUCCUUGAUAUAUAGGGCAUAUGCAGUGCCAAUAUACUUUCUCAGGAUUUGGUUAUUUUGGAAGGACUUCUUUUUAUUUGGUAGUACAAUUUUGGUGAUGGUACUAUUCCCACUUGACAUCUUUUUUUAUUAUAACUUUAAUAACAAUAUCACAGUUUCCUUUUGACCUACAAAAAUUUUUUUGAUCAAUUUAUUGGUUAUCUCAUAAGACUAUGCUUAUAAAUGACCAUCAUUUUUAUCUUGCAGCUCCCAAAAUUCUCUUCUUAUCUGUGAUUUUUGAAAUUUUGUUUAUAUAUGUGUUUGUUAUAAAUAGAUGUUUGGGUAUAUCCUAGUUUGUUUGUUCAGCUUUUCAGCUUUGCCCUAUUUACACAAUUUUUUCUUUUAAGAAAUUUUUCACUUAGUUUUUGUAUUUUUUACACCCACAAUUUUUGUUUUCUAUUUUAAUAUUUUUUCGUUGUUAUCCUCAUUUUUCUAAUCUUCAGUAGUUGUCUGUGUUCCUGUUUCACUUUGUGAAAAUUAAAUUUAUUUUAUUUGUUUUAUUUUUUUUUUUUUCCUGAGACGGAGUCUCGCCCUGGAGUGCAGUGGCGUAAUCUCAGCUCACUGCAACCUCCGCCUCCCACAUUCAAGCGAUUCUCCUGCCUCAGCCCCCUGAAUAGCUGGGAUUACAGGUGCCUGCCAACACGGCUAGCUAAUUUUUUGUAUUUUUAGUAGAGACGGGGUUUCACCAUAUUGGCCAGGCUGGUCUCAAACUCCUGACCUCAUUUGAUUUCCCCACCUUGGCCUCCCAGUGUGUUGGGAUUACAGGAAUGAGCCACCAAGCCUGGCCUGUUCAAUUUAUUUGGAAUUUUAAAAAUUAUACACUUUUUAUUGUUGCUUUUGAAAAUUUUAUAAUUUUUUUGAUGGGGCCAUGUUGCCCUAAUAUUUUGUAUACAUUGUAAUCUUUGAGAUUUGGACAUGAACAAAAAGCUACCUGUUAUGAUCUUUAUAAUAUAGCUCUGUCCUCGCAUAGUCUGAAAAUCAAUCGUCUUGGAUAGCAAUUCUUGGAAUUUCUCAAACAUGUUUUUAGGAUGUGUCUUGUCUAAAAUUUUGUGUUGUUUAGUUAAAUCGGCUUAUUCUUAUUUCUUCUUAAUAAAUCAGUAAUCACUUGCUACACCCAUUCCGUGUUUGGGAUACUGCAGUUUCUUUGCUUCUGAAACAUUUACCUUUAGACUCAAAGUGUCAUUCCAACGUAUAUUACCAUUUCAUGUCGUGGGAGACAUUAACCAGUAUUUUAAAAAGCCCCUAGAGGCCGGGCACGGUGGCUCAUGCCUGUAAUCCCAGCACUUUGGUAGGCCGAGGCGGGCGGAUCACGAGGUCAGGAGAUUGAGACUAUCCUGGCUAACACGGUGAAACCCUAUCUCUACUAAAAAUACAAAAAAUUAGCCGGGCAUGGUGGCGGGCACCUGUAGUCCCAUCUAGUUGGGAGGCUGUGGCAGGAGAAUGACGUGAACCCAGGAGGCGGAGCUUGCAGUGAGCCGAGAUGGCGCCACUGCACUCCAGCCUGGGAGACAGAGCGAGACUCUACCUCAAAAUAAAUAAAUAAAUAAAAUAAAAAAUAAAAAUAAAAAAGCCCCUAGAAUCCAGAAAUAAAGAUGUAUGUGCCAAUACUUUUCUUGUUUUUUAAAAAAGAAACCAGGGGUUGGCAAUUUACAUAUUUGUGUGCAUGUGUGAGACAGAGUCUCACUCUGUUACCUAGGCUGGAGUACAAUGGCAUGAUCUUGGCUCACUACAAUCUUUGCCUCCACAGUUCAAGCAAUUCUCCUCCCUCAGCCUCCCAAGUAACUGGAUUACAGGUAUCUGUUACCACACCUGGCUAACGUUUUGUAGUUUUGUAGAGACGGGGUUUCACCAUCUUUGCCAUGCUGGUCUUGAGCUGUUGACCUCAUGAUCCACCUGCCUCAGCCUCCCGGAGUGCUGGGGUCACAGGUGUGAGCUACCACACCCGGCCCGCAAUUUACUUUUAAAGGCACAAUUUUAUACUGGAGAGCAGUAAGAGCUGUGUUGGGUAUAAGUAACAGACUUUUCUUUUUUUCUAUGUGGCUCUUUGCAUUGUGCUCACCUGGAGCCCUUUACACACUUAACUAAUUUAUAAAUUUUUUACAAAUGUAUUUUGGUCAGUAUGUUUUUGUUACAGUUAUAUAUCCAGGAAGAAAUUACAGCUUGUGGUAUUUUGCUGUGUCAUCUUGCUUACGUAGUUUGUAUAAUUUUAUAGGUUAGAUUUGUGAAGUAUAUUUAUCUGAGUCUAGCAAUUGAAGUCAUGUGUUUUUAUUGUUUCUUUCAGUUAUGUAUUCUCAUUUUGCCCAAGACCUUUGGUCAGAGCACAGCAUAAAAGAUUCUUUCCAAAAAGUGAUACUAAGAAGAUAUGAAAAAUGUAGACAUGACAAUUUACAGUUAAAAAAAGGCUGUGAAAGUGUAGAUGAGUGUCCAGUGCACAAAAGAGGUUAUAAUGGACUUAAACAAUGUUUGACAACUACCCAGAGAAAAAUACUUCAAUGUGAUGAAUAUGUGAAAUUCUUGCAUAAAUUUUCAAAUUCAAACAAACAUAAGAUAAGAGAUACUGGAAAAAAACCUUUUAAAUGUAUAGAAUAUGGGAAAACUUUUAACCAGUCUUCAACCCGUACUACAUAUAAGAAAAUUGAUGCUGGAGAGAAACGCUACAAAUGUGAAGAAUGUGGUAAAGCCUAUAAGCAGUCCUCACACCUUACUACACAUAAGAAAAUUCAUACUGGAGAGAAACCCUACAAAUGUGAAGAAUGUGGCAAAGCCUAUAAGCAGUCCUGUAACCUUACUACACAUAAGAUAAUUCAUACUGGAGAGAAACCCUACAGAUGUAGAGAAUGUGGCAAAGCUUUUAACCACCCCGCAACCCUUUUUUCACAUAAGAAAAUUCAUACUGGAGAGAAACCAUACAAGUGUGAUAAAUGUGGCAAAGCCUUUAUUUCAUCCUCAACCCUUACUAAACAUGAGAUAAUUCAUACUGGAGAGAAACCCU